CUCAGAACCAUAAUUAUAAUACCACAUAUGUUCAGCCCAGUAACAUUGUUUACCCAAACUUAAAUGAAGCAAGGGUUUAUUGUUGAGCUUUGCCAUAUUGCUCGUUUGAACAAGUUAUUAUGGGUUUUGUUAGCCCGAGUUUGGUUAUCUUAUAUGAUUAUGUAUUUGGAAUAGCGUGGUUGACUGAAUAGUUGGUUUCAGUGAAGAGUGAAGACUGAAGACACAGUUUAGCCUCUGUAUUUUCCACUCCUGGAAUACCAGCAGCAAGUAAAACAUUGGAUAGUUCUGAUGCAUGUGUGACUGUUCUUUGUAUUAAACUUGCUACGUGGUGGCCAUGGGAUGAACUCUCAUCAAGCAAAGUUGUUGGAGAACGUGAUGCAGCUAAGACUGUUGAAACUGAUGCUAUUCUUGCUCUUCAGAAACUUCAGAAGGUAAUGUUUGCUAUCCUUUUGGUAGCAACUUACCAGUGAUCUUUAUUCAUACUCUUGUUCUUGCAUACUUUGUUGUUGAUACGAAAAGAUGAUGUAUUCUACAGAAGAAAGGAAGAGAACUACAAAAGAAAUAAAGGCAAGAAAGGCUGCAGAAUCUUUUAACAAAUUUUUAUGGUGCUGGAAUUACACGUUCCUGUCACAACCAUAGGCGUGUCAAUUAUAUAUUUGUAAGAGGAAAACUACUGAAGAGAGUGCAAGAAAGGAGGGUAAGUGAGACCUCAGAGCAUGAAAACCCAUCUCCAGAUACUGAUUUGGAAAAAGUCAGUAUACUAAAUCCAAUUUGAGCUAAUCAAUGUAAGCUUUCAGACAUUCACGUUUACUUAUGCAGUAUGCAGUCUGGUUUUUGCGAAAUCUGUUUCUCAGUUUUAUACUAAAUCCAAUUUAAGCUAAUCAAUGUAAGCUUUCAGACAUUCACGUUUACUUAUGCAGUAUGCAGUCCGGUUUUUGCAAAUCAGUUUCUUAGUUUCAUACUAAAUCCAAUUUAAGAUAAUCAAUGUAGGGUCU